rnacentral:tRNA from 1 species
CAGAAAAUAGUUUAUAAAAAAAAUAUUAAUUUUGGGAAUUAAAGAAGAGUUAUUAUUAUUCUUUUCUGA